AUCCUUUUGUAGUUCACCACGGUGGUGAUUGAGUGUUCACGCUCUUGUGUGAGCUGCACCUCCCUCAAACCUCGUUAGGACAUUAGCACAUUACCUUUCUGACA